GCCGGAAGUUUGCACAGAGCUCACGGUGGAGCGGGGGCUCCAGCGCCGGGACAGCUCGGCCGCUCUGCCCGCCUCCCUGGUACAGCGCGGCUCUCCUCGGGAGAGCUUUGCUCAGGCCUCCAGCGGCUUUGGUCUUGCUGCGGCUCUGCCCGGGCACCUGCGCUCACUGAGUCUCACCCCAAAAUUAGAGAGAGGUUACUUCCCGGGGUCAUUCCGCAGGAAGCAUGGCAGGCCGGAUUCCAGCCAGCACGCUUAAUAGAAGCUCAGAGCUUCGGGGCAGCAAGGGACCCCAGAGGCUAUCGCUGGGGCCAUUGAAGUGGCAGUAACUGAGCACCUACGAAUGUGGGUGGGGACCCUGGGCCCUGCCUUCCCCUUUUGCAGAGGAUGGAGUGCAGGCUUGGGGGGACUGGCCCCUAUGCACACCUGCAGCCUGCUUCUAGCCUGGAGGGGCCAGAUGCUCAAGAGACCGUCCCCCUUGUCCUUCGGUCAGGUCUGUUUGGGGAACCCAAGGAGGCACUGCCUCCUAGGGACAGCCUCUGCGCUUCCCUGUGUCACCUUGGACAUCUGUCCGUAGGAACAGCCUCUGCGCUUCACUACAUGACCUUGGAUGUCUUUCCAGUUCUUUUGUGUUUUUCCAGCAGUCCAGUGAUCUUUGCCCAAAGGCCAUGGUGCCCCAGGUGCUGCUCAGGAUGCCAGGAGGCAGCGGACAGGUGGGACUGUUGUCUCUGCUCUGUGGGAACGCUUACUGUCAUGGGACGGACAGAUUGCAAGCCAGACACAAAGAUGGGCCCUGAUGGCCUCCUUGGCCCCCAAUCCAGACGAAUCUGAGGUGUGAGCUUUGGGAUUGCUUCCUGUCCAGAAAGUACCAGAGGUUUGAUAGGACCAAAACCAGAGACUUUUUCCUACAAGGGACACGAAGGGGCAAUGUUUAGUCUUCCCAGCCUGGGGCCUGUUUGGACCUGCACGCCAAGUGUCAGGAAACCCUGAUGUUGAUUUAAUGCCUCAAUUUUUUCUUUAAUAAACUUUUUUUUUCUCCUGGAAGCAGUGAUACUCGUUCAUUAGAGAAAGUCUGGGCAAUAGAUCUACUGAAGAAGCUCACCACCCAGAGACAGGGGCUGUCGAUAUUCUCGUACAUUCCUUCACAGUUCGUAAACUAGUGCCGAUAAACGGCUUGGACAAUGUGUCUUUGGAACUGGUCUGUGUUUCCAGAAGAAAGAUUGUCAGGCCAAAGAUUGGGAUGCAUUUUGCCAAAUUGCUCUCCUGAAACGCUGCACUCAUGGGCUCUCCACCCACGAGGUGCCACUGAACGUCUUUGCACUUUGUGAUUGGCCGUUUGGAAAAUCGCCUGUAUGUGUUCUCUACUCAUUUUUAAUUUUUCUUUGGGUUGUAUGUCUUUUCUUAUGGAUUUUAAGAGCUUUUUAGACUAAGGAUUUUAGUCCGUUUGUACCAUAUGCUCAGGUACACUGCAUUUAUUUUUCCCAGUGUGUCAUUUUUCUUUGACUUUGGAUCUAUAUUUGUUGUUUGCUUUGUUAGCUGUGAACAAGUUUUAAAUUUCCAUGUAGUCACAUCUAUCAACUUUUCUUUUAUGGUUUCUGGCUUUGGAGUAGGGCUAGAAAAGCCUUCCUACUCCAAGAUUUCAUAAGCGGUCACCAAUCUAAUGCCUCAACUUCAAAAUGAGAGGACAGUGUAAGACAUGUAAAGGCCUGAUCCAAGGCUUUCUGUGGAAAUCAGAGUGUGUAUCAGGGGCUCUUGUCCAGUGCGCCUUGUGAGAUCUGCGUCUGAGGAUCC